UACGUAGGGGGCAAGCGUUGUCCGGAUUCAUUGGGCGUAAAGAGCGUGUAGGCGGCCAGGUAGGUCGGUUGUGAAAACUGGAGGCUCAACCUUCAGAGGUCGACCGAAACCAUCUGGCUAGAGUCCGGGAGAGGAGAGUGGAAUUCCUGGUGUAGCGGUGAAAUGCGCAGAUAUCAGGAAGAACACCCGUGGCGAAAGCGGCUCUCUGGAACGGUACUGACGCUGAGACGCGAAAGCAUGGGGGGCGAACAGG
rnacentral:rRNA from 1 species